AGGUUUUUAAGCUAGAUUUGAAAUCUUAAAAAAGAAGUAGUACUUCAGAAAUCUC
rnacentral:tRNA from 1 species